GAUGAACGCUAGCGGUGUGCCUUAAGCAUGCAAGUCGAGCGCUUGUGUUUCGCACAAGGAUAACGGAUUAACGCUGAUUUUUGGACGGAUUAGUGCAGGUUUAUCUGCAAAAAUCUGUUUUUGAUUAGCGAAAAUCAGUGUCCUCGCGCGAAGCGCAAGAGCGGCGGACGGCUGAGUAACACGUAGGUAGCUACCCUUUAGCGGGGGAUAGCCCGCCGAAAGGCGGAGUAAUCCCGCAUAAUCCCCGCCUUUGGCGGGGGAAAGAGCUUAACUGCUCACUGAAGGAGGCGCCUGCGGCCUAUCAGCUUGUUGGUAGGGUAAUGGCCUACCAAGGCAAAGACGGGUAGGGGGCGUGAGAGCGUGGCCCCCAGAAUGGGACUGAGACACGGCCCAUACACCUACGGGUGGCAGCAACUGGGAAUCUUGCGCUAUGGGCGAAAAGCCUGACGCAGCGACACCGCGUGAAGGAUGAAGGCCUCGGUUGUAACUUACUAGUUAAAUAAGUACACCGGACCG
rnacentral:rRNA from 1 species